rnacentral:rRNA from 1 species
UAACAAGGUCUCCGUUGGUGAACCAGCGGAGGGAUCAUUACUGAGUUUACGCUCUACAACCCUUUGUGAACAUACCUAUAACUGUUGCUUCGGCGGGUAGGGUCUCCGUGACCCUCCCGGCCUCCCGCCCCCCCGGGCGGGUCGGCGCCCGCCGGAGGAUAACCAAACUCUGAUUUAACGACGUUUCUUCUGAGUGGUACAAGCAAAUAAUCAAAACUUUUAACAACGGAUCUCUUGGUUCUGGCAUCGAUGAAGAACGCAGCGAAAUGCGAUAAGUAAUGUGAAUUGCAGAAUUCAGUGAAUCAUCGAAUCUUUGAACGCACAUUGCGCCCGCCAGCAUUCUGGCGGGCAUGCCUGUUCGAGCGUCAUUUCAACCCUCAAGCUCUGCUUGGUGUUGGGGCCCUACAGCCGAUGUAGGCCCUCAAAGGUAGUGGCGGACCCUCCCGGAGCCUCCUUUGCGUAGUAACUUUACGUCUCGCACUGGGAUCCGGAGGGACUCUUGCCGUAAAACCCCCCAAUUUUCCAAAGGUUGACCUCGGAUGAGGUAGGAAUACCCGCUGAACUUAAGCAUAUCAAUA